rnacentral:rRNA from 1 species
CCUACGGGCGGCAGCAGUAGGGAAUCUUCCACAAUGGUCGAAAGUCUGAUGGAGCAACGCCGCGUGUGUGAUGAAGGGUUUCGGCUCGUAAAACACUGUUGUAAGAGAAGAAUGACAUUGAGAGUAACUGUUCAGUGUGUGACGGUAUCUUACCAGAAAGGAACGGUUAAAUACGUGCCAGCAGCCGCGGUAAUACGUAUGUUCCAAGCGUUAUCCGGAUUUAUUGGGCGUAAAGCGAGCGCAGACGGUUGAUUAAUUCCGAGGGGAAUGCCCACAGCUUAACUGUGGAAGUGCUUUGGAAACUGGAUAACUUGAGUGCAGUAGGGGGGAGUGGAACGCGAUGGGUAGCGGUGAAAUGCAAAGAUAGAUGGAAGAGCACCAGUGGCGAGGGCGGCUCUCUGAACUGUAACUGACGUUGAGGCUCGAAAGUGUGGGUAGCAAACAGGAUUAGAUACCCGUGUAGUC